GACGUAGGGUGCAAGCGUUGUUCGGAUUUACUGGGCGUAAAGGGCGUGUAGGCGGCAUAUUAAGUCAUCUGUGAAAUCUCCGAGCUUAACUCGGAACUGUCAGCUGAUACUGAUGUGCUAGAGUGCGGAAGGGGCAAUCGGAAUUCUUGGUGUAGCGGUGAAAUGCGUAGAUAUCAAGAGGAACACCUGAGGUGAAGACGGGUUGCUGGGCCGACAAUGACGCUGAGUGCGCGAAAGCCAGGGGAGCAAACGGG
rnacentral:rRNA from 1 species